rnacentral:rRNA from 1 species
GGCGGCAGGCCUAACACAUGCAAGUCGAACGCUCGUAGCAAUACGAGAGUGGCAGACGGGUGAGUAACGCGUGGGAACCUUCCCAGUGGUACGGAAUAGCUCAGGGAAACUUGAGGUAAUACCGUAUACGCCCCUAGGGGGAAAGAUUUAUCGCCAUUGGAUGGGCCCGCGUCGGAUUAGCUAGUUGGUGAGGUAACGGCUCACCAAGGCGACGAUCCGUAGCUGGUUUGAGAGAAUGACCAGCCACACUGGGACUGAGACACGGCCCAGACUCCUACGGGAGGCAGCAGUGGGGAAUCUUGGACAAUGGGCGCAAGCCUGAUCCAGCCAUGCCGCGUGAGUGACGAANGCCUUAGGGUUGUAAAGCUCUUUUGGCGGGGACGAUAAUGACGGUACCCGCAGAAUAAGUCCCGGCUAACUUCGUGCCAGCAGCCGCGGUAAUACNAANGGGACUAGCGUUGUUCGGAAUUACUGGGCGU